CAAAAUCUUUACUGCUGCGUUUAAUGUGUAUCAAAUUUUUAAAUUCAUCGAGCGUUCUAAUUUUUAGAAUAAAAUCAUUUGGGCAUAAGGAAUAAUUGAGUGUUUUCACAUGGGGCGCAAAAGCAAACCUGGAAAAAUCACCGGACCAUAAAUUAGCCGAGAAAAAGAAUCGUUCCGCGAAGCAACCAACCCCAAAAAGCUCACUUCGGCUGGAAAAACUACGCCAAUACCAAGCCGAUCGCAUCAUAGCGGAAACUCCCGAGCAACGUCAGGCCCGUUUGGACAAUCUCCGAAAAAUAUCAGCG